rnacentral:rRNA from 1 species
CUACGGAGGGUGCAAGUGUUGUUCGGAAUUAUUGGGCGUAAAGAGCAUGUAGGCGGUUCGUUAAGUCUGAUGUGAAAGCCCGGGGCUCAACCCCGGAAGUGCAUUGGAUACUGGCGAACUUGAGUACGGGAGAGGAAAGUGGAAUUUCGAGUGUAGGGGUGAAAUCCGUAGAUAUUCGAAGGAACACCAGUGGCGAAGGCGGCUUUCUGGACCGAUACUGACGCUGAGAUGCGAAAGCGUGGGGAGCAAACAGGAUUAGAAACCCGUGUAGUCC